UCCGAAUUGGUGUAGUGGCUAACAUUUGACGCUCUCAUGAUCACUCAUCGAGUGACCCGUCAAGCCCGGGGUUCGAUUCCCCGAUUCGGAG
rnacentral:tRNA from 1 species